AGGAACUCCCCUCUCCUGGUUGUCUAGGUCGAAAGAUCAUCGGUUGAGAAGAUGGUUGGAAACUGAGAUUUUGUUUGAAACUGCUAGUGAGUCGGGUGAAGCUAAUAAUACAGAAAGUGAGAAUACUGGGUUACAGUGGCGAAGAAAAAGGGAAACAAGAGAAGUAAAGCAGUAUUGGAAAAUAGGAAACCACGAGACUAGUAUUUAAUCGGAUUGAGGGUUUUGGAUCAAUACUAUUUAGGAAAUCCAUUUAACGUCUCCAGGAAAAUCUGGAAUGUGUUGGAGGAAAGUAUGGAGUCGGGUGCUAUCUAGGGGGUGAUUUCUAGGGUGGCGCAAGAAAUAAAGGCAGAGAAUACAACUGAAGACAUCGAUGGAGUGGUUGUUGCAAAUCGACUGACGUGUAUGGAGAAGAUAAAUUCAAUUCAUCCAUGCUACUGUUCUUUGAGUCUCUCCCUUCUCAUACGAAGUUACGAUUCAUGAGAUUUCAUAAGAGCUUUUGUGCACAAACCCCUUCAGUGUCAUAAAUGUAAAAUAUUUGGUAAUGUGUCAAGUGUGUGCAGAAGGGAAGAUUAUCUUAUGCCAGAUGAAUGCUGCAACUGUGGAGGUGAACAUGCACCUGCAUUUCUGGAGGGUGGAGGAUAAUGAGGUGGCAAGGGUAAGGAGUGUCCAGUACGUCUCCCAUCUGGAGGCGGUGAGAAAAUUGGAAGCUAUGGAAGGAACGAGUAGCGGGGAAGAAACAACGGCAGUAGAGCCACCAAGACCAGUGAAGUUUUCUCAUCAACCGAGGGAUAGAGAAAUGCUACAUGUUAAAAAGGUGGACUUUGUAUUAUUAAUUGCAAUGGUCAUAAACUGUACAGCACAAGCGGAGAACAAGUCUAAUCAAACUGGUAUUGUGAAUGCUGCUGAAUGUUUUUUGGGUCUAUGUGAUUUCACAGCCGAGGCCGUGCAAGAAAUCCUGAUGUGAAUGUACCGCCAUGUCAGGCCCCUGAGCCUGUGUAGGGGUGUAUUUUAGAGUGGACUGGGAUUGAAGAAGUGGGAUGGGUUUUCUUAGUUAACAUGUUUUAUUUUAAUAUGAUGUAGUUUUCCCCCCUUUUCUGCACUGUUCUUUUAGUUUCUUAUUCAAUAUCCUGUCCAGCUGGUGGUGGUAAUGCAACGUUCUCGCUCUGUCGCCAACCACCGUUAACCCCAUCGAAGACGAAGAGAAGAUGGUUGUCAAUUUUAAUUGAACGGAAAAACCAAAAACUCAAGAGACAUCACUACGGGAACCUGGAUGCAGCAAGGACACGUGCAGAGAGAAGUUGCACCGCAUUCCUAUGAGAUCCAAACGGGGCAUGGAUCACAACUUAGAGGAAACCGAGUGGCUUCGGCCGUUUACUCAAGGGACUGAGGAUCAUCAGGAGGACACUACUUAAGUGUCAAAUGCCUUCAGCAUUGGACAAAAGUCAGAAAACUGACAAUGAAUGCUGUUCAACUGCUUCAAUAAGUGCUUCAGCAGAACCAAAAAGGACUGCCAAAGCCUCAAAGGCUAAUUGAGAAUUGCAACAAAACAAAUAACCUGGACUGAAAGUUUGUGGAAACAAAUAGCCACAAUAGAGUAUUGUUGGACAGAGACUGUAUUUAUUUGUGGAAAACAAAUUCACUCAAUAUGUUUGCCUCCUUAAGUGAUGAGUGAGUCAAGCAGACCACCAUAGUCCCUGGGCCCAAGAACACCAUGGUAACCUACCUAAAUGACUACCGAUCUGUAGCACUCACGUCUGUAGCUGGUCAUGUAUGGCGUGGAGAGGUUGGACCCAGGUGCAGAGAAGAGACCAGAUGAGGAAUUAGUGGAUAAUGAUGAACAUCAAUACUUUACUGAGAAACUGUAGAAUCAGGAUCAAAGUACACUAGAAAAAUAACAAAUCCUAAGCCUCAAACUCACUCAGGAAACGAACGCACACGGUAAACAAGUCAAGCUUCUACAAAGGACCACAGAAAACGUACCUUUUUCAACAGGGACACAAUCAUGAACUAAUAAGACACACCUGAGUCCAAUAAACGUCUCUAGGGCGGUUUCUGCCGCCAGGAGGAACCAUGACAUCAUGGCUCAUAUCAACACUUUCAUCCCAGAAACCCUCGACCCACUCCAAAGAAUGCUGUUCAUUGACUACAGCUCAGCGUUCAACACCAUAGUGCCCUCAAAGCUCCUCACUAAGCUAAAGCCCCUGGGACUAAACACAUCCCUCAGCAACUGGAUCCUGGACUUCCUGAUGGGCCACCCCCAGGUGGUGAGAGUAGGUAGCAACACAUCUGCCACGCUGAUCCUCAACACUGGAGCCCCUCAGGGGUGCUCAGUCCCCUCCUGUACUCCCUGUUUACCCACAACUGUGUGACCAGGUACGACUCCAACACCAUCAUUAAGUUUGCAGACGACACAACAGUGGUAGGCCUGAUCACCAACAGCAACGAGACAGCCUAUAGGGAGGAGGUCAGAGACCUGGCCGGGUGGUUCUAGAAAUACAACCUAUCCCUCAACGUAACCAAGACUAAGGAGAUGAUUGUGGACUACAGGAAAAGGAGGACCGAGCAAGCCCCCAUUCUCAUCGACAGGGCUGUAGUGGAGCAGGUUGAGAGCUUCAAGUUCCUUGGUGUCCACAUCACUAACAAACUAGAAUGGUCCAAACACACCAAGACAGUCAUAAAUAGAGCACGACAAAGCCUAUUCCACUUCAGGAAACUAAAAAGAUUUGACAUGGGUCCUGAGAUCCUCAAAAGGUUCUACAGCUGCAGCAUCGAGAGCAUCCUGACUGGUUGCAUCACUGCCUGGUAUGGUAACUGCUCGGCCUCCCACCGCAAGGCACUACAGAGGGUAGUGUAAACGGCCCAGUAGACCACUGGGGCAAAGCUGCCUGCCAUCCAGGACCUCUACACCAGGCGGUAUCAGAUGAAGGCCCUACAAAUUGUCAAAGACCCCACCCACCCCAGUCUUAGACUGUUCUCUCUACUACCGCAUGGCAAGUGGUACCGGAGUGCCAAGUCUAGGGCCAAAAGGCUUCUCAACAGCUUUUACCCCCAAGACUCCUGAACAGGUAAUUAAAUGGCUACCCGGACUAUUUGCACUGUGUGUGUGUCAUGUACCAACUACCUCAAUUAGCCCAACUAACUGGUGCCCCCGCACAUUGGCUACCCGGACUAUCUGCAUUGUCUCCCGCCAACCCCUCUUUUACACUACUGCUAUUCUCUGUUUAUCAUAUAUGCAUAGUCACUUUAACCAUAUCUACAUGUACAUACUACCUCAAUUAGCCCGACUAACCGGUGCCUGUAUAUAGCCUCGCUACUGUUAUUCACUGUUUUUUUUUUUUUUUUACUGUUGUUUUUUAUUUCCUUACUUUAUCUAUUGUUCACCUAAUACCUAUUUUUCUACUUAAAAAUUGCACUGUUGGUUAGGGCCUGUAAGUAAGCAUUUCACUGUAAGGUCUACUACACCUGUUGUAUUCGGCGCACGUGACAAAUAAACUUUGAUUUGAUAA
ensembl:lncRNA